rnacentral:rRNA from 1 species
UGCCAGCCGCCGCGGUAAUACGAAGGGGGCUAGCGUUGUUCGGAAUCACUGGGCGUAAAGCGCACGUAGGCGGACUUUUAAGUCAGGGGUGAAAUCCCAGGGCUCAACCCUGGAACUGCCUCAUAAACUAUCAGUCUAGAGUUCGAGAGAGGUGAGUGGAAUUCCGAGUGUAGAGGUGAAAUUCGUAGAUAUUCGGAGGAACACCAGUGGCGAAGGCGGCUUUCUGGACCGAUACUGACGCUGAGACGCGAAAGCGUGGGGAGCAAACAGGAUUAGAUA